UAAGGUAGCGAAAUUCCUUGUCGGGUAAGUUCCGACCUGCACGAAUGGCGUAAUGAUGGCCACGCUGUCUCCACCCAAGACUCAGUGAAAUUGAAAUCGCUGUUAAGAUGCAGUGUACCCGCGGCUAGACGGAAAGACCCCGUGAACCUUUACUAUAGCUUCACAGUGGACUCUGAUAUUACUUGUGUAGGAUAGCUGGGAGGCUUUGAAACUUAGGCGCUAGCUUAGGUGGAGCCAAUCUUGAAAUACCAGCCUGGUACUGUUGGGGUUCUAACUCUGGACCAUUAUCUGGUUCGAGGACAUUGUGUGGUGGGUAGUUUGACUGGGGCGGUCUCCUCCCAAAUAGUAACGGAGGAGCACGAAGGUUAGCUAAUCACGGUCGGACAUCGUGAGGUUAGUGCAAUGGCAUAAGCUAGCUUAACUGCGAGACAGACACG
rnacentral:rRNA from 14 species